GGGAACGUCGCAUCCACUUGAAACAUCUGCAUCGCUCCUGGAAGCACCAUUGUGACACAGACUGUUCCGUGCUCCAAUGCAGGAAAGUCAUGAGAGACUUGGGAGUCUUCUCUGGUGCCCAGUCUCUGCAUUGAGUAGUGACUCCUGUAGUACUUGGUGGGAGAGAGAACUGGCUGCAGUUUAUCCAUCUUUAAUGUGACUAAUCUGAUAGUAACCCUGAAACAGACCUUACCCAUUCCGAGUUGAACUCCUCCUGUCCAAAGCUGCCUUUCUCUCUUUGGUAGUGACCAAAAUCUCUUCCACCUGCCACGCCACCAGUCUGCCCAGCUUGGGAUGGAGCCGAUGGAUCAGCUUUGUGUUGCUCGUCCUGUUUCUCACUGUGAAGGGCAAUCAUCGGUCUGUUGGAGUGAGGAAGAACUCCCUGUGCAUGGUGUGUGUGGUCUGAUGUGUGUAUUCCUUUGCACUAGCAGCUGAGAGCUUUCUUGAGAACUUGCUUACACCUCCUUUAUUUGAAGUACUUGGAACCAGUCAACGUGAGAGACAAGAUGGACAGUAAACAAGGCUGCCCCAGCGAGGAUGGGACGGACGGGCGGCGGCGGCUGCAGAUGUCGCCGUGUGAGCAGGAAUCUCUGCAGGGUUGCGUUGGCCUCACCCCACUGCACAUGGAGCUUGUGUGCAGUGCCAGGACCAGACCUACAGCAACAGCUCAGGGAAAACCAUCCCAGCCUGCAGCUGGAGCCAGUCAUGAGCCGUCGGCAUUCAGUAUUUGUGGAAACACACAACGUAGCCGCUCUUUCCACUGCUUUUCAUGUCAGGGAUCCAUUGUCGUGCGUUGCUGUGAGCUGUGUGCAGAACCUGGGUGACAUAAUGAUAGAUCUCUCUCAAAUACUGGGGCAUUUUGUGGUUUUAUGAUGUAGUAAAAGCCUCUCUAGGCAUGACAAGCACAGACUGACAAGGGACAGUUUUAUCUCUAUCUCAUUAAAGGGUAAGUGCUAUAUUGGACAAGCAUAAUAGAAGAAGAAAUAAUCUCCAAGAAGAGAGGAGAGCUCCAGAAGCAGGAGGAGAAUAAAAGGUAGAUGGUAAUGGCAGAGGAGUAGACCCAGGCUGGUCAAAUAUCUAACGGAGGGAUGAUUUUUGAGUGUUUCGUGUUUCUUUAAAUCAGUUGUCACAUCGCCUCUUAUGCUGGAAUCUUGGGGUAUGACUUGGAUUAAGUUAUUAGGGCUGUCCCAUUAGAAAUUCCUGAAUUAACGCUGCUGCCGUGUAUGUGGCAUGUUCAGAGGGCAAUCUUUGGCACGCCUGUUUCUGUGCAUUUUCAUAUAUUGUAGAAGUGCAGGUUUCACUUUCUAAGCACUAUUGCAUUUCUUCCUAUUAUUUAGUCAUUUUGUCAUCGUGUAGUCAAAUGCACUGGGGAUUCCUAAAUGGUGUGUAAAACGAACAUCUGUCCAUUGGCAAGAU